AUUGAACGCUGGCGGCAGGCCUAACACAUGCAAGUCGAGCGGAGCGGCGGACGGGUGGGUUAUGCCUAGGAAUCUGCCUGGCAGUGGGGGAUAACGUCCGGAACCGGGCGCUAAUACCGCAUACUAUCAGAUGAGCCUAGGUCGGAUUAGCUAGUUGGUGGGGUAAAGGCCUACCAAGGCGACGAUCCGUAACUGGUCUGAGAGGAUUAUCAGUCACACUGGAACUGAGACACGGUCCAGAUUCCUACGGGAGGCAGCAGAGGGGCAUAUUGGACACUGGGCGAAAGCCUGAUGCAGCCAUGCCGCGUGUGUGACGAAGGUCUUCGGAGUGUAAAACACUUUAAGUUGGGAGGCGGUACCAACAGAAUAAGCACCGGCUAACUUCGUGCCAGCAGCCGCGGUAAUUC
rnacentral:rRNA from 1 species